UCCAACAGUGUUCCUAUGUUCUUUUUCAAGAAUUUGUUUUAAAGGUUUAGAACAUUAGAACAAUCUAAUUGGUGGUUUCUGCACUUUUGCACAUUUGGACAAUUUCUAACUGCAGAAUUCUCUACUUCCAGAACUAAUACCCGCCAAAGAUGACAACAGUUUUGUUUCAGUACAUCAGUGUGUAUUUUGUGUUGGACAAAAAAUCUGAUAAUAAGAUUGCUGUAUGAGCUAUUUGGUAUAAAGAUUUGAUUUUGAUAGAGAUUUAUGUAAUUUAUGAAUACAGCGCUUCAUUUUGCAGAAAAUAUGUGUAUUUUAGGUGUGAUGUUUUGUGAAUUGUAUUUAAUGUUUUGGAAAAAUGAGCCCUGUUUUCAAAAAAUGUGUGUUGACUAUUGAUAAAUAUUAUAAAUGGGCCUUGCUUCUGG